GCUUAUCACCAUUCCAGAUUGAAUAUACCCGAUCUCGUCUGAUCUCGGAAGUCAAGCAAUCUCGGGCUUGGUUAGUACUUGGAUGGGG
rnacentral:rRNA from 1 species